AGACGUCUUACGCCAAACAAAUCAAGAAAAAAAAAUGUUGUAGGCGGAUGGAGACGUCCUAUGACAUAUGUUAUGAAUGUUCGUGUGAUGCCCCAAAGCCAUAAGUAGAUUAAAUAAUUGGACCUGAUAUUAUGAUUUCGUCUCACGAUGAGUCGUAAUAAACAACGUAACCCAUACGACCACAACAAAUUUGUUAACCAUAACUAUAACAAUAUAAAGUUAUCUAGGUUUACUGUGGAAGUACCUAGACUACAUAAGUAUCUCUCUGUUAUCACAGAAAACAAUGCAGAGCACGCAUCAGUAUAACCGUAUCGGCAUGACUUCGGAUGAUGAAGCAUCAAUUCUUGAACCUGACCCAUCUACUCUACGAGACCUGCAACGGGUACGAGAACAUAACGAAAGCUAAGCAAGAGAGAACACACCACCAGGCAGGUGCAGAGCACGCACCGCCUGCCAGAAUGGCCGUAUCGGCGCAAGCAGCUUCAACGACGGAUGCAACAUGAAAAUAACUGGCACCAAUUAUUAUAACAACUUAUUGGUCGUCGUUACUAUUGUUAAAAGGACUGCAGAGUUCAGCGAGUGCGGAGCAUAAAGAACCUUCGAGAAAUACAAGAACAUUUAGAAGAA